rnacentral:rRNA from 1 species
CCUACGGGAGGCAGCAGUAGGGAAUAUUGCUCAAUGGGCGAAACCCUGAAGCAGCCACGCCGCGUGGAGGAUGAAGGUUCUCGGAUUGUAAACUCCUUUUGUUAGAGAAGAUAAUGACGGUAUCUAACGAAUAAGCACCGUCUAACUCCGUGCCAGCAGCCGCGGUAAUACGGAGGGUGCAAGCGUUACUCGGAAUCACUGGGCGUAAAGAGCGCGUAGGCGGGAUAGCAAGUCAGAUGUGAAAUCCUAUGGCUUAACCAUAGAACUGCAUUUGAAACUGUUAUUCUAGAGUAUGGGAGAGGUAGGUGGAAUGCUUGGUGUAGGGGUAAAAUGCGUAGAGAUCAAGAGGAAUACUGAUUGCGAAGGCGACCUGCUAGAACAUAACUGACGCUGAUGCGCGAAAGCGUGGGGAGCAAACAGGAUUAGAUACCCCAGUAGUC